rnacentral:misc_RNA from 1 species
GAAGGAAGCUUUGUGAAAUUAUUCGAGGAUGCCAUUAUUAAAGAGACAAGAACAUGAAGAAAUCUGAUGCCACAAUGCUAAUUAUUAAAGUCUACACUGCAUUUGCAUAAAGCCCAGCCCAAAGUUGAAAGGAACAGUCCUAAGCUGAGAGAAAAAGAUAAUAAUAAAAAUGUCCAAAUAGAAAAUAAAUUAUUGUGGCCUUUUUUUAAAUCUUAUUCUGCACUUUUGAUUUUAAAAAUUAAAUGAUUUAAUUUUUUUUGAAUUUAUAUAAUUUUAUGAUGAUCAUAUAUUCCUAUCAAAUUAAGUACCAAAAAACUUAUAAAAGAAAAUACUUAAAAAAAUAAAUUUGUCAAGAAAAAGAAAAUUUUCGUUAUACUAUUUCUCGGUUUUCUUGAGGCAUACAGAGUGGAAUAAAGAAAAUAAAUAAAUAAAAUCCCAAU